rnacentral:tRNA from 1 species
GUCCUCGUAGCUCAAAUGGAUAGAGCAACUCCCUUCUAAGGAGUAGGUUGUGCGUUCGAUUCGCGCCGGGGACA